GACGAACGCUGGCGGCGUGCUUAACACAUGCAAGUCGAACGGAAAGGCCCUGCUUUUGUUGGUUGCUCGAUUGGCGAACGGGUGAGUAACACGUGAGUAACCUGCCCUUGACUUUGGGAUAACUUCAGGAAACUGGGGCUAAUACCGGAUAUGAGCUCCUGCUGCAUGGUGGGGGUUGGAAAGUUUCGGCGGUUGGGGAUGGACUCGCGGCUUAUCAGCUUGUUGGUGUGGUAGUGGCUUACCAAGGCUUUGACGGGUAGCCGGCAUGAGAGGGUGACCGGCGACAUUGGGACUGAGAUACGGCCCAGACUCCUACGGGAGGCAGUAGUCGAGAAUAUGGCACAAUGGGCGGACGUCUGAUGCAGAAACGCCGCGUGCGGGAAGCUGGCCUUCGGGUUGUAAACAGCUUUCGACUGUGACGAAGAGUGCGUGACGGUAAUGGGUAAAGAAGCAACGGCUAGCUACGUG
rnacentral:rRNA from 1 species